CAGUAGCCACGGUAAUACGUAGGGUGCGAGCGUUAAUCGGAAUUACUGGGCGUAAGCGUGCGCAGGCGGUUAUAUAAGACAGAUGUGAAAUCCCCGGGCUCAACCUGGGACCUGCAUUUGUGACUGUAUAGCUAGAGUACGGUAGAGGGGGAUGGAAUUCCGCGUGUAGCAGUGAAAUGCGUAGAUAUGCGGAGGAACACCGAUGGCGAAGGCAAUCCCCUGGACCUGUACUGACGCUCAUGCACGAAAGCGUGGGGAGCAAACAGGAUUAGAUACCCCCGUAGUCCCUGUCUCUUAUACA
rnacentral:rRNA from 1 species